CCCCGCACCGGCCGGGCCGGGCCGGGGGCACCGGGCGGGGACAGGCCUGGGCUCGGUGCCCGCAGGAACGCGGCUGUCUGCGGGUCACGGGGGCCUGCGGCCGGUUACUGGGUCCGCAGAGGGGGGUGUCAGACUCAGAGCCAUUGGCAGAGCCUCAGAGCCCCCUGGGCUCAGCUGCUCCCUGCCAGCGCCAGCCCGAGCCACGGCUCUGUGGGGUCCGGAGUCACACAGCGGGACAGCUCAAUCUGCUGCUGGUGACACCAAAUAGUUCUGGGGUCACACAGCGGGACAGCUCACCUGCUGCUGCUGGUACCACAUAAGAGCGGUCUGGGAGGGUACACAGUGUGUGUCCUGUUUCUGAACUAUCUUCACAAUUAACAGAAUGGAAAAAAUCCCUUUCUGCAGCUCAAGCCCAUCCACUGACAUUAAUUUUUGCCUUCAGUCUGCUCAGCCCACAAAAGGAUACAGAAUCCUGCUAUUUCCUGUUUACUGUCCUUCUGGCAUGUUCAAGCUUGCUCUCCCUCCUGAGCUGUGGAAGUUUCAAC